CCUACGGGAGGCAGCAGUGAGGAAUAUUGGUCAAUGGACGCAACUCUGAACCAGCCAAGUAGCGUGCAGGAUGACGGCCCUAUGGGUUGUAAACCUCUUUUAUCCGGGGAUAAACUGAGUCACGUGUGCCCUAUGGCAGGUACCGCAUGAAUAAGGACCGGCUAAUUCCGUUCCAGCAGCCGCGGUGAUACGGAAGGUUCGGGCGUUAUCCGGGUUUAUUUGGUUUAAAGGGAGCGGUGGGCGGCCCUUAAGGGUGUUGUGAAAUGGUGCGGCUCAACCGUGGCACUGCAGUGGAAACUGGGUGGCUUGAGUGGGCGAGAGGUAGGCGGAAUUCGUGGUGUAGCGGUGAAAUGCAUAGAUAUCACGAAGAACUCCGAUUGCGAAGGCAGCAUACCGUAGCGCGACUGACGCUGAGGCUCGAAAGUGUGGGGAUCGAACAGGAUUAGAUACCCGAGUAGUC
rnacentral:rRNA from 1 species